rnacentral:rRNA from 1 species
AUUGAACGCUGGCGGCAUGCUUUACACAUGCAAGUCGAACGGCAGCGCGGGCUUCGGCCUGGCGGCGAGUGGCGAACGGGUGAGUAAUGCAUCGGAACGUGCCCAGUAGUGGGGGAUAGCCCGGCGAAAGCCGGAUUAAUACCGCAUACGACCUGAGGGUGAAAGCGGGGGACCGAAAGGUCUCGCGCUAUUGGAGCGGCCGAUGUCGGAUUAGCUUGUUGGUGGGGUAAAGGCUUACCAAGGCGACGAUCCGUAGCUGGUCUGAGAGGACGACCAGCCACACUGGGACUUAGACACGGCCCAGACUCCUACGGGAGGCAGCAGUGGGGAAUUUUGGACAAUGGGGGCAACCCUGAUCCAGCCAUGCCGCGUGCGGGAAGAAGGCCUUCGGGUUGUAAACCGCUUUUGUUCGGGAAGAAAUCCUCUGGGCUAAUACCCCGGGGGGAUGACGGUACCGGAAGAAUAAGCACCGGCUAACUACGUG